rnacentral:tRNA from 1 species
GGGGCUCGGCAGUAGAGCAUCUGUUUGGCAUGCAGAAGGUCCCAGGUUCAACUCCAGCUUGAGAAACA